rnacentral:rRNA from 1 species
UACGAGGGGUGCAAGCGUUGCUCGGAAUUAUUGGGCGUAAAGGGUAGGUAGGUGGUCUCGUUUGUCUGGGGUGAAAGCCUUGAGCUUAACUGGGGAACUGCGUGUGAUACUGGAUGGCUUGGAUUUGGGAGAGGGAUGCGGAAUUCCAGGUGUAGCGGUGAAAUGCGUAGAUAUCUGGAGGAACACCGGUGGCGAAGGCGGCAUCCUGGACCAAUAUUGACGCUGAGGAGCGAAAGCCAGGGGAGCAAACGGG